UAUCUUUGCACGCUUAACGGAUAAACCGUUACAUACAUAAAAAUCAUUAAAUCAAUAUUGGCAUG
rnacentral:ncRNA from 1 species